rnacentral:rRNA from 1 species
GAAAGGCGUGCGAUACAGGGUGACAGCCCCGUACACAAAAAUGCACAUAUUGUGAGCUCGAUGAGUAGGGCGGGACACGUGGUAUCCUGUCUGAAUAUGGGGGGACCAUCCUCCAAGGCUAAAUACUCCUGACUGACCGAUAGUGAACCAGUACCGUGAGGGAAAGGCGAAAAGAACCCCGGCGAGGGGAGUGAAAAAGAACCUGAAACCGUGUACGUACAAGCAGUGGGAGCACGCUUAGGCGUGUGACUGCGUACCUUUUGUAUAAUGGGUCAGCGACUUAUAUUCUGUAGCAAGGUUAACCGAAUAGGGGAGCCGAAGGGAAACCGAGUCUUAACGGGCGUUAAGUUGCAGGGUAUAGACCCGAAACCCGGUGAUCUAGCCAUGGGCAGGUUGAAGGUUGGGUAACACUAACUGGAGGACCGAACCGACUAAUGUUGAAAAAUUAGCGGAUGACUUGUGGCUGGGGGUGAAAGGCCAAUCAAACCGGGAGAUAGCUGGUUCUCCCCGAAAGCUAUUUAGGUAGCGCCUCGUGAAUUCAUCUCCGGGGGUAGAGCACUGUUUCGGCAAGGGGGUCAUCCCGACUUACCAACCCGAUGCAAACUGCGAAUACCGGAGAAUGUUAUCACGGGAGACACACGGCGGGUGCUAACGUCCGUCGUGAAGAGGGAAACAACCCAGACCGCCAGCUAAGGUCCCAAAGUCAUGGUUAAGUGGGAAACGAUGUGGGAAGGCCCAGACAGCCAGGAUGUUGGCUUAGAAGCAGCCAUCAUUUAAAGAAAGCGUAAUAGCUCACUGGUCGAGUCGGCCUGCGCGGAAGAUGUAACGGGGCUAAACCAUGCACCGAAGCUGCGGCAGCGACGCUUAUGCGUUGUUGGGUAGGGGAGCGUUCUGUAAGCCUGUGAAGGUGUGCUGUGAGGCAUGCUGGAGGUAUCAGAAGUGCGAAUGCUGACAUAAGUAACGAUAAAGCGGGUGAAAAGCCCGCUCGCCGGAAGACCAAGGGUUCCUGUCCAACGUUAAUCGGGGCAGGGUGAGUCGACCCCUAAGGCGAGGCCGAAAGGCGUAGUCGAUGGGAAACAGGUUAAUAUUCCUGUACUUGGUGUUACUGCGAAGGGGGGACGGAGAAGGCUAUGUUGGCCGGGCGACGGUUGUCCCGGUUUAAGCGUGUAGGCUGGUUUUCCAGGCAAAUCCGGAAAAUCAAGGCUGAGGCGUGAUGACGAGGCACUACGGUGCUGAAGCAACAAAUGCCCUGCUUCCAGGAAAAGCCUCUAAGCAUCAGGUAACAUCAAAUCGUACCCCAAACCGACACAGGUGGUCAGGUAGAGAAUACCAAGGCGCUUGAGAGAACUCGGGUGAAGGAACUAGGCAAAAUGGUGCCGUAACUUCGGGAGAAGGCACGCUGAUAUGUAGGUGAAGUCCCUUGCGGAUGGAGCUGAAAUCAGUCGAAGAUACCAGCUGGCUGCAACUGUUUAUUAAAAACACAGCACUGUGCAAACACGAAAGUGGACGUAUACGGUGUGACGCCUGCCCGGUGCCGGAAGGUUAAUUGAUGGGGUCAGCGCAAGCGAAGCUCUUGAUCGAAGCCCCGGUAAACGGCGGCCGUAACUAUAACGGUCCUAAGGUAGCGAAAUUCCUUGUCGGGUAAGUUCCGACCUGCACGAAUGGCGUAAUGAUGGCCAGGCUGUCUCCACCCGAGACUCAGUGAAAUUGAACUCGCUGUGAAGAUGCAGUGUACCCGCGGCAAGACGGAAAGACCCCGUGAACCUUUACUAUAGCUUGACACUGAACAUUGAGCCUUGAUGUGUAGGAUAGGUGGGAGGCUUUGAAGUGUGGACGCCAGUCUGCAUGGAGCCGACCUUGAAAUACCACCCUUUAAUGUUUGAUGUUCUAACGUGGACCCGUGAUCCGGGUUGCGGACAGUGUCUGGUGGGUAGUUUGACUGGGGCGGUCUCCUCCUAAAGAGUAACGGAGGAGCACGAAGGUUGGCUAAUCCUGGUCGGACAUCAGGAGGUUAGUGCAAUGGCAUAAGCCAGCUUGACUGCGAGCGUGACGGCGCGAGCAGGUGCGAAAGCAGGUCAUAGUGAUCCGGUGGUUCUGAAUGGAAGGGCCAUCGCUCAACGGAUAAAAGGUACUCCGGGGAUAACAGGCUGAUACCGCCCAAGAGUUCAUAUCGACGGCGGUGUUUGGCACCUCGAUGUCGGCUCAUCACAUCCUGGGGCUGAAGUAGGUCCCAAGGGUAUGGCUGUUCGCCAUUUAAAGUGGUACGCGAGCUGGGUUUAGAACGUCGUGAGACAGUUCGGUCCCUAUCUGCCGUGGGCGCUGGAGAACUGAGGGGGGCUGCUCCUAGUACGAGAGGACCGGAGUGGACGCAUCACUGGUGUUCGGGUUGUCAUGCCAAUGGCACUGCCCGGUAGCUAAAUGCGGAAGAGAUAAGUGCUGA